rnacentral:rRNA from 1 species
GAGGAGAACAUUCCUUAGUACGAGAGGACCGGGAAUGACGCACCUCUGGUGUUUCGGUUGUCGCGCCAGCGGCAUGGCCGAGUAGCUAUGUGCGGAAUGAAUAAGCUCUGAAUGCAUCUAAGAGCCAAGUCGACUCCAAGAUUGGAUCUCCCUUCCAGGUUCGCCUGGACUGAAGGCAGGUUGAAGACUACGACCUCGAUAGGGCGGGUGUGUAAGCGCAGCGAUGCGUUCAGCUAACCGCUACUAAUCAGCCGUGAGGCUUGGCCAUUUA